GUCCAGGUCAGAGUGAGCAGUUCAAAGGUCGAGUCUCACAUUUUCCAGAUGAACUGGAACAAGGCAACGCCUCCAUAACCAUCAGAAAUACGACGAGGGCUGACAGUGGAGAAUACAGAUGUAGUUUUCCAUCAAUUCAGAAACCUCAAACAUUCCACAUUACGCUUGUUGUUGCUUCAACUCCAGAGUCAGAUGAACUUCAUCCAUUAAUGAUGGAAGAAAGGCUCUGAUAAUGUCUGUGUUGCUGGAAACAUUUAUUUUGUCAUUUUGUUAUUUUAUGCU